rfam:Archaeon GW2011_AR4 QS99_C0016, whole genome shotgun sequence.
GGGCCCAUAGUCUAGUGGCUAUGACGUCGCCUUUACACGGCGAAGGUCGUCGGUUCAAAUCCGGCUGGGCCCA